UAAAAAGUCUUUUUCUGAGAAUGUGUACUGAGACUUGCAGCACUAAUAUAUUGUGAGGUUUUUUUCCAUGUCUGUUUAUUGCAAGGAUUUCUUCUUCUUUUUUUUUACGAUUGCGAUUUACGAUAGCUUCAUCUGAAAUGUGAAAGGAUGAGCAGUGCUAGUAGCAUGCAGCAGAAUGUUGUACUAAGACUGCGUUGGAUGUGACAGCAAGUGCAUUACUGUAUAUAUUUGGCUGGAGCUGCCAAAUGAAGUACAAGCCCCGUGUUUGCCUACGUGAUAAAGCAGGUAAACGAAGCCAACCUUCCGUCUGGAUUGGUUUAGAAGACUCUGCCCAUGCUAUGAAGCCGAAGCUGGACUUUUUGUAGAAGUCUAGAACGAAUGGCAGAGGCUACGGCUGAUUGAACACAGCGCGGGCUUGGCAACUCUUAAAGACUAAAUGCAAAAACAGGGUGAAAGCAGAGGACAUUUCAUUCCGUCGACUUUGAUUGUGACGACAAAUGAAGGAGAUUUUUUUUUCCGUGACCUGGCGGGUGGAGAGGCACUGCGACGCUCAUCACGGAUCCAUACUUCGUUGCAUGGUGUUCUGCAAAAUAUAGCGUAUCGGUUUCAACGGCAAAACAAUAGUCUCGUGUAUUUCAAAAAAAGACGUUUUCGUAACUGUGCCUCUUCACCUCGGGUGAAGCCAAAGCAGACUGCAGACGUGUUUCUUCCGUUUCUUGUUUUUUGCGUUGCUUUUUAUCCUCUGUUUUUAUGUUCUGGAGUUUGUCCAUUGCACAGAACUCAAGUGUUGUCUGAACUCUUUGUUACUACUACUCUUGUUUUGGUGGAAUGCUAUUCUUCGUGGCAUGAGAGCUUUACGAUUUUCUCAAGCGGCUUUCCAUUCUGUCACCGGCUCUUUUCUAGUCUGCGAUCUAGUGUGCACCGCACUGCGCA